GUUUGGGCCGUGCCGAAAACCAGCCACUGCCAGAAAAGGAGAGAAAUCUCUCCGGACAGAAGGGAUGAUAAGGAGGAGGGUGAUGUCCUGUGGGGUUGGACCUUAAGGGUGAGAAGAGAAAAUGGGUGCGUUGUUAGGGAGUAUGAGUAGGAGUGGGAGAGACAUGAUGUGACAAUACAGCCUGAGUUAGGGAGUAAAGUGGGGUGUUGGGAGGGAAAGUGAAAGAGAGAGAGAGAGAAAAAAGCCCUCUGACAGCCUGAGAAACCUUGAGGUGCCAUCUGGCGUGUGGGGGCCAAAGGACAGGGCUCGGCGACCUUUGACCCAUAUCCUCCUUUUAACAAACAUCCCGGUGCUACAGAUUUAUGGGCUGCUUAGGAGCAAUAACUGUCUGAGGCAUGUGGAGGAAGCAAGCUGCGUUCCUCUGUCUUUCAGGUGACUAGACACCAGAAAUGAUUCCAAACGCUGAGACGUUGUGUCUCACUUGUGAGUUUAACCCGAGAGCGUGUCAGACAACACGGGGUGCAGAGAGGAAGAGUGAACGACAUGCUCAGCAUGUUGACAUCAUGGAUGCUAAUUCUGCAUGGCGCUGGUGACCUCUCAUAGAAGGCGGCCCAGAAUUCCAGAAAUUUACUCCUUUCGGGAAGCGGCAGGAUCAGUAAUGCUAACUAUGUGUAGCAUUCCUGGGAAGAUUGUACCACAGCCGGAAUGCCCUCAUAUUAAUGCUCUCUAUUUCAGCGGUAUGUCUCAAUCGAGGGCUGCAACAACCCAAUGCCCGCAUUGUUUCCAGACCUCUUUUGUGAGGGAGUCAGGGGGGGAAAAAAAUCAUUUAGUUUCUACAAGCAUGAAAAGAUUUUAUUGAAGCGCAGAGUGAAAGUGUACCACUGUUGUGGUCGUGGAGCAAGGGCAAAAUGUUCGCUGCCUGCAAAAAAAAUGCCCUCACUCAGCGGUGCCAUUCCAAAACCAAACCCGUUCUCUUUCACUGAGGUCGGGCAGCGUCAUAGCAACAGAGGGAGAGAUGCAUAAAAGAUGACUUCAGAGGCAACACUUUGACAUGCACUUCCACAACCAGACACACGAUGGGCUGCUUUCAACCAAACUCAGGUCAACUGAGACUGUUCUGUCCAAGCACUAGAUGUUAUGCCACUCUUUGUUUAUGAAAAACACAUUUGAACGUAAUUAAAUUAUUGUAUUUAAAACACAUUACUUUUUGGGAUGCAAAGAGAGAAAAAAAGGACUUGGUGCUUCCUCACUAACCCCUUCAGCCCUUUCUCCAUAUUUCUCCAAAUUCUUAAACAUUUAGUUAAAUAAUUUCCUCCAUGGUCAAAGUUGUGUCAAUUAAAAGAAAAGAGGAAGUAGUUCUAGUCGUUUACAAAGAACAAAACACAUUUUUGUUACCAAAACCUUGGGAACUAAAUUCACAUUCCCAACUUGAACUUGGUCGUAUUUAUUCAUCAUAUUCUUUUAUGAAAUUAAAUAAAAAAAUAUGUCAUUGUGAUGGAUUAGCACCCUGACCACUGCUUAUCUUUUUGGUUUGUUUUAAUUUUCUCAAAAAGCUGCUCUCCUUAACAUGAUUUACUGUUUCUGUUGUCAGAAACCAAAAUGCAAUUGUAUUUUUUCAGAAAAGCAGUCCAUUAAGUGUAGGUUUUGAACCUGUGCCACUGUCAUAGAGAAAUGUUAGAAGAGACAGAUUUCUGUUUAUUCCACUGCUAAUCCAGAAGCAGGCUCUCACGCAAUAACUUCAAAAGUGGGGUGCCAAAACAAACUGAAUAACCUAUGAGUUUUGAUGGUCAGGGUAGGAGCAUUAAAUUUGUUUUAUUAAUGCUGUUCGUUUCAUUAAUCGUUUGGUUUUAUUUGAAUGUGUACAGGCUUUCGACAGUGUAACAUAAAACCGUAUACAUGAUAAAUUAGGAGUGGGUGGAAAAAUAAAUGUAUUUAUUCCCACUCCUUCAUGCAUCAACAUCAGCAUGCCUUACUAUUCUUAUCUAAAUAGUACAAAGAUUAAAUAUUAGUGAACUACAUUUUACAUAAAAUAUUUAGAUGUUUGUCUUUCUUAUAAAUUUUAGUGGUCUUGACAUUUAAAUAAAUAUACUCUUGUGUACGGUACUUAACUAAAAUAAUAAAAUAACUAUAGCAGCAAUAUCAACAACCAUACCUUGUUUUCUUAUUAAUUACCUUAUUUAUUUAUUAAACAAAUGUUCUACCUAUACAAUUAGUAGCAAGAGAAUAGCAAAUAUUACUCAUUGUAUCCCAUAAUGACCAUAAUUCUUGUAUAAGGAUUAUAACUGUUUUGUGUUUGGACAUUGCUUUAGUUCAGAAAGUUUAAAACUCUUUCUGGUGGAACAGAGAGACAUGUUUGUGUCAGUGAAGAGAUAUUUGUCCACAUUCUUUGUAAAGUGCCAUUACCUUGGCUAUUUUCAUUUUAUCUGGAAAUGAACCUGUUUGAAAUGACAAAAAAACUUAAGUGGGAUUUACUUAUAUUAUUCUAUUUACAUGUUGUAUGUUUCUUUGUGGCUCAAUAAUUUGUUUAGAUAAAUCUGGCCUGUUUUAAAGAAUAACAGUUAAAGCUGUUUGCACUUUCAUUCAUGGUAUAAAUUUCAGAAUUUUUUAUCAAUAAAACUACUUGGGUA